UCUCGACGUCGAACCGUUCUCCACCUCGCGACGUCGAGCAACACUGUCGUCCCUCCCCCGGCAUCGUCUCCGCCUCCUCCUCUGCCCUAGCGUCGACGCCUGCUCCUCUUCCCCGAGCCGAUCGCCCUCUCCCUUCUCUCUGCCCUAGCGCUGGCGCCGAUCCCUUUCUCCUAGCCUUACAUCGCUGAUCUGUGCCCUAGAUUGCCAUCGCCGCCACUCCUUUCCCCUCGCACUAGAGUUCUCUUCCUUCGACCACCAAGCUGUGCCCUAGCUCCCGGCCUACUCACGGUGCCGAGCCUAACCAAGCAAGGUCGCCAUUCUCCUCUGCCACGGCUCUUCACCACAGCAACAAUUAGAUUUUCGCCGAGAAGAAUAUGUGGAUUUGGAUUGAGCGUUGGCCAGCACUCUUCACUAGAGAACCACAGUUCCGGCCAUCCUGUUCCGAUAGUGAACCUCUUCGGCCAGGAGUCUUCUGAGAAGCGAAUUCAAUUUGGGACUUUGAUUCGAGAUGAGCGCCUUGACGUCGGAUUUUAGUUGAUACGAUCUUCUUUUUGAGGCGGGUAUCUCUUGACUUAUCUUUUAUGAUAUUGUCACUUUGAUAUGCAUAGUAAUUUAUAGCUAGUAGCAAUGAUCAUGCUUAGAUUUGCCCUUAGUAUGCCAUUAUUUAUUACCUAGUGUAUGUUCUGUUUGUUGCA